CCUAGCCCUUCAGAGGGGGACAACAGUUGGAAACGACUGCUAAUACCGCAUACGAUCCAACCUCGGCAUCGAGGAUGGAUGAAAGGUGGCCUCUAUUUAUAAGCUAUCACUGAAGGAGGGGAUUGCGUCUGAUUAGCUAGUUGGAGGGGUAACGGCCCACCAAGGCAAUGAUCAGUAGCCGGUCUGAGAGGAUGAACGGCCACAUUGGGACUGAGACACGGCCCAG
rnacentral:rRNA from 1 species